rnacentral:rRNA from 1 species
GACGAACGCUGGCGGCGUGCUUAACACAUGCAAGUCGAACGGAAAGGCCCUGCUUUUGUGGGGUGCUCGAGUGGCGAACGGGUGAGUAACACGUGAGUAACCUGCCCUUGACUUUGGGAUAACUUCAGGAAACUGGGGCUAAUACCGGAUAGGAGCUCCUGAUGCAUGGUGGGGGUUGGAAAGUUUCGGCGGUUGGGGAUGGAAUAUCGGCUUAUCAGCUUGUUGGGGGGGUAGUGGCUUACCAAGGCUUUGACGGGUAGCCGGCCUGAGAGGGUGGCCGGCCACAUUGGGACUGCGAUACGGCCCAGACUCCUACGGUAGGCAGCGGUGGGGAAUAUUGCACAAUGGGCGGAAGCCUGAUGCAGCAACGCCGCGUGCGGGAUGACGGCCUUCGGGUUGUAAACCGCUUUCGCCUGUGACGAAGCGUUAGUGACGGUAAUGGGUAAAGAAGCACCGGCUAACUACGUG